rnacentral:rRNA from 1 species
CGCUGGCGGCGUGCUUAACACAUGCAAGUCGAACGAAGCACUUUAAUCGAUUUCUUCGGAUUGAAAUUUUAGUGACUGAGUGGCGGACGGGUGAGUAACGCGUGGGUAACCUGCCUCACACAGGGGGAUAACAGUUGGAAACGGCUGCUAAUACCGCAUAAGCGCACAGUACCGCAUGGUACGGUGUGAAAAACUCCGGUGGUGUGAGAUGGACCCGCGUCUGAUUAGCUAGUUGGCAGGGCAACGGCCUACCAAGGCGACGAUCAGUAGCCGACCUGAGAGGGUGACCGGCCACAUUGGGACUGGGACACGGCCCAAACUCCUACGGGAGGCAGCAGUGGGGAAUAUUGCACAAUGGGGGAAACCCUGAUGCAUCGACGCCGCGUGAGCGAAGAAGUAUUUCGGUAUGUAAAGCUCUAUCAUCAGGGAAGAAGAAAUGACGGUACCUGACUAAGAAGCACCGGCUAAAUACGUGCCAGCAGCCGCGGUAAUACGUAUGGUGCAAGCGUUAUCCGGAUUUACUGGGUGUAAAGGGAGCGCAGGCGGAAGGCUAAGUCUGAUGUGAAAGCCCGGGGCUCAACCCCGGUACUGCAUUGGAAACUGGUCAUCUAGAGUGUCGGAGGGGUAAGUGGAAUUCCUAGUGUAGCGGUGAAAUGCGUAGAUAUUAUGAGGAACACCAGUGGCGAAGGCGGCUUACUGGACGAUAACUGACGCUGAGGCUCGAAAGCGUGGGGAGCAAACUGGAUUAGAUACCCUGGUAGUCCACGCCGUACACGAUGAAUACUAUGUGUC